AGCGAACGCUGGCGGCAGGCUUAACACAUGCAAGUCGAGCGGGCAUCUUCGGGUGUCAGCGGCGGACGGGUGAGUAACGCGUGGGAACGUGCCUUCUGGUUCGGAAUAACUCAGGGAAACUUGAGCUAAUACCGGAUACGCCCUUCUGGGGAAAGGUUUACUGCCGGAAGAUCGGCCCGCGUCUGAUUAGCCAGUUGGUGGGGUAACGGCCUACCAAGGCGACGAUCAGUAGCUGGUCUGAGAGGAUGAUCAGCCACACUGGGACCGAGACACGGCCCAGACUCCUACGGGAGGCAGCAGUGGGGAAUAUUGGACAAUGGGGGCAACCCUGAUCCAGCCAUGCCGCGUGAGUGAUGAAGGCCUUAGGGUUGUAAAGCUCUUUUAUCCGGGACGAUAAUGACGGUACCGGAGGAAUAAGCCCCGGCUAACUUCGUGCCAGCCGCCGCGGUAA
rnacentral:rRNA from 1 species